UACGUAGGGUGCAAGCGUUUAAUCGGAAUUACUGGGCGUAAAGCGUGCGCAGGCGGUUAUGUAAGACAGAUGUGAAAUGCCCGGGCUUAACCUGGGAAUGGCAUUUGUGACUGCAUGGCUAGAGUGUGUCAGAGGGGGGUAGAAUUCCACGUGUAGCAGUGAAAUGCGUAGAGAUGUGGAGGAAUACCGAUGGCGAAGGCAGCCCCCUGGGAUAACACUGACGCUCAUGCACGAAAGCGUGGGGAGCAAACAGG
rnacentral:rRNA from 1 species